rnacentral:rRNA from 1 species
GAGUAAUGUCUGGGAAACUGCCUGAUGGAGGGGGAUAACUACUGGAAACGGUAGCUAAUACCGCAUAACGUCGCAAGACCAAAGAGGGGGACCUUCGGGCCUCUUGCCAUCGGAUGUGCCCAGAUGGGAUUAGCUAGUAGGUGGGGUAACGGCUCACCUAGGCGACGAUCCCUAGCUGGUCUGAGAGGAUGACCAGCCACACUGGAACUGAGACACGGUCCAGACUCCUACGGGAGGCAGCAGUGGGGAAUAUUGCACAAUGGGCGCAAGCCUGAUGCAGCCAUGCCGCGUGUAUGAAGAAGGCCUUCGGGUUGUAAAGUACUUUCAGCGGGGAGGAAGGCGACAGGGUUAAUAACCCUGUCGAUUGACGUUACCCGCAGAAGAAGCACCGGCUAACUCCGUGCCAGCAGCCGCGGUAAUACGGAGGGUGCAAGCGUUAAUCGGAAUUACUGGGCGUAAAGCGCACGCAGGCGGUCUGUCAAGUCGGAUGUGAAAUCCCCGGGCUCAACCUGGGAACUGCAUUCGAAACUGGCAGGCUAGAGUCUUGUAGAGGGGGGUAGAAUUCCAGGUGUAGCGGUGAAAUGCGUAGAGAUCUGGAGGAAUACCGGUGGCGAAGGCGGC